GUCUUGUUCCUAACUCCUCCCCGGGUAGUUCCCAAUGUUUGGCACUUCCCAUACUUCGUGGGUGCCAGGCCGGUUUCAGCCUUUGAUCUAAAAAGCGAAAACUCUAUGUCAAUCCUUUUCCCGUCAAGACGCAAACUUUGUUUGGAGGCCGAAACACAAAGAAAAGCUCGGUGUUGAAGUGCGGUCCGCCGAAGUAGGGAACGCACCACAGGUUGACCCACGGCACGACUCUGGCCAUAGUGACAAGAGCUGGUCACCCCGGAGAGAUGGGAAGGAGGGCGGUGGGUGGGUCAAGCCUGGACUUUCUUCUCCUUCAUCGCAACGAUUCUUCCCCGUUCAAGAAUCACUGUUUUCGUGAUCGAAUGACGAAAUAGACGUUGCAUCAAGUUCCAUCCCAGCGAUUGGGAGUUUCCUUCCUUGAUCCGCCCUAUCUAAUUAAAUGCUUCGGGAAGGUUGUCUACGCCGAUGAUAAAUAAGGCCGGUUUCGAGCCAGUUCCUGUGGGAGUUUCAAUGGGGUAGGGCUCCAGUUGCAGUGGCAAUUGAAAUUGAAGUGGGAGUCCUUCUACAAGGGAGUUUUGCUCCAAGGGCUAUGAAUCGGGCAGGAGGAAGUGGAAGAGGUUGUUGGAGAGGAACUGAGAUUUGCAAGGGAUUGAAAAGCUGGCAACGCAAAGCAUGAGGGGCGUACUCACAUGUCUUUUGUGGCAAUCUGCAGGCAGGAGGGCAAAGGGUGGAAAAGUCUCCAAUAAGUUAAGUUCCUAGCCUCCCGAUUCAAAGACCUCAUUCCAUACCGUAGAGCUGGGAGUUCUAGUCCCGAUUAAUUUGAUCCGAUUAUAUCUGCCUUAAAGUCAAACUUUUAUCGGAUGACUUUUAACAUAGAAUUUUCUUCUUUUUUUCUUUCUCAUUUUUUUUCUAUUAUCAAAAUUUAAUGGAAAAUCCCAAUCAUCUUAUAUGCAUAAUAUUUUAAAAUUUGUAUAAGCAUGAUGUAUGCAUAAUCAUAAAUUCUAUGACUAAAACAUGCCACUUAUAUACAUGAUCCAUGAUGAUUAGAACAGAUAGCUUUCAUUUUAUGCAAUUUAAAUUGCAUGAAUAACAACAAUUCUUUUUCAUAACUUAUGAUACAUGAUCUACAAUAAGAUUAAGACGGGUUACUUACACUUAUAAUUUAGAUAAGAAAGC
rnacentral:lncRNA from 1 species